rnacentral:ncRNA from 1 species
CUGUAUUAUAGAAUGCUCCCUUUAAGUAAUAUGCAAGUACAUAUAUUAUUCUUUUUCCCUGCUAUGUACUUAGUGCAUUAUUGUUUAUCCCCAUGAAUAACACAUA